GGCCGCGCGCGGCAACGGGCGCGCGAGCCCGUCGCGGGCGACACUUGCCGCAGCUUAGCCGAGGGCCGCACCCUGCGGGACGCUCGGAUCUCAGGGCGCCCCGCGGCCCAGCCGCCCUGGUCAGCCGCCAGCCCUGCGCCCGGGUCCCCGGGUCCCAGAGCUCUGCCCCUGCCUCCACAGACCUCUGUCUAGCCCGGCACCGCCCUCUGUGGCGAGGCGCCGGACUCACCGAGCGCGCCCCGCAGGCCCCAGGGCCCGCACUCCCGCGCGCGCCGCACCGACGAGGCUGGAGCGGGAGCGGCUGUGGCGGUGGCCGGGCCGCGGCGGCGCGGGGAGGGGCCCCGAGGAGACAGCCUGCUCCACUCUUGCGGCAACAGUCCCUGACGUCCUGGUGGAGAGGCAAUGAGGACACAGGAGACAGAUGCUGAGAUUAAGAAAGGUAAAGCGACUUGCCUGCAGUCACAAGUAAGUGGUGAAAUCAGACUGAAACCCAGAUGUCUCUUAACACUCUACCCCUGCUGCUGAAGAUCAUAACUGGCAUCUCUAUUUCUUCCCUUCCUUGGGAAGCCAUAUGGUGGCUCUACCAUCCCUGUGUUACCUCAAUCACCAACAACCAUUACUCCAGUCUCUCUUAUUCCUGCCUCGACUGACCUUGGAAGAAGAGGACACCCUCAUCUUGGCAUUCCCCACGGUGACAUUCCACAGCUGCAUCCACUGGGGAUGGAAUUCCAGGAAACUCUUCUUGGAGCAACUUAGGAUAUCCUUUCUCUUUCUUCUCCGGAGGGUACACCCAGACUUUGUCCCCCUGCAUAUAAAUCACUCUAUUUUUAACUGUGCACCUCCACAUGCUGCCAUUCUGCAUUUACACACAACAUCUUUGAUAUAUUGCAUCUAUACAAUGUCCUCCUGUAGGCCUACACACUUUUGAUCCACCUGUGGAUAACAAUGUGCUGACCCCUUGCACAAAUACUAGUUUGUGCAAAUCUCACCACUGUUGCUAUAACACAUGCACACAUCUGGCUGUGUACAACCAGAGACUCCCAAUGCACACUUAUCUGUAACACCAUUAGUCUUGGCAAACACAUCCACACAUAGUCAUCCUGCAGUCAUCCAUCCAUUCAUACAUUCAUUUGUUUAUCUAUGUAUUCAUCCAUUCACUCAAGAAACAGUUGCUAAAUGACUACCAUAUGCCAGAUAUUGUGAAAGGCACUGAGGAUAAAAGGAUAACAAGAUUGUCUCUGCCUUCAAAGAGUUCACUGUAGAAAAGCAGAAAGGAUCCUACAAUCCUAGCCAUGCAGCCACCAAAGUGGAAACAUGUGAAGUGCAUUGGGAAUAUAGGCAGUGUUUAAGCUUACUUAGAGAAUUCCUGGAAGCCUUCACAGAGGAGGAAGCAUUUAGGCCUGAGUAGGAAUUUUUCAGGUGGACAAGUGUGGAAAGGGUGUUACCAGCAGAGGGAGCAGAGGGAGCAGCCGGCACAAAGCCUGCACAAACAACUACAUGUGGUCUCAUGUAGCUGGCACACAGUGAAUGUGGUGGGGGAGGAGAAAAGCUUGGAAAGAUAACCAAAGGCCAGAACUCAAGCCCCAUGUGUACCUGACUUGUAGGAAUUGGCACAGUGUGGUACCACUUAGUGAAACAGGGGACACAGCAGGAAGGGUAGGUUUGUGAGAAAGAUACUAAGUUCAGUUUGGGAGAUAUUGAAUUUGAGGUGCUACAGAACAUCUAAGUUGAAGAUGUCUGCAGGAAAUAGGAACGAGAUGUCUGGAGCUCUGGGAGAUAUCCAGAUCUGGUGUCCACAACACAGAGAGUCCUCAGAGCUGUAGCAAUGGUUGAGAUCACCCAGGGAGGGUAUAUCUGGGACAGAUCUCCAAGGAACAUACAGGGACUGGCUGAGGAUAAGAAGCUUCAAAAGAGCAAGAAAGAGGCAGGAGGGGAAAUCAAGCUGGCAGCGAGGGCUGCCCCAAGCACACAGCACCUUAUGCAAAUUAGGAGAAGGCGCCCCUUCCUCUGAGCAGACAUAGCCUGGGCCAGGGCAUGGGACUUGGUGAGCACAGAAGACUUGAUUUCAUCUUCCACUCACACCCUAGUCAGACGCCAUUGUUGUGAACAGCCUGGCCACCAUACAAACAGUACUUGAUGCAGAGUCAUGGAAAUCAAGGGAAGAAAUUACCAGGAAGGAAAGGAUGGACAAAAGCAUCAGGAGUAGCAGAGAAGUCUGUAUAAAGAUUGGGCCUGAAGAAUAGCCCCUGGAUGCUAUGCCUGCCAGGCCCACAUGCACAUACACUCCCUUGGCUUGAGCUUCUUCAGGAAAAUAAGGCACAGGGGGAGGAAAUCUGGAACCUACAGGUAAGGAGUCCAUGCUAGGGCCACCUGUGGGAGGCUCUAUAAUGUCCAUUCCAGCCCUUCCCGGCCCAGCCCUGACCUUGGCCCAGAAGUACCUUGAUCAGGAAGACACUGUUGUGACCACGGCGGAAUGCAGCAUCCACAGGGCUGGUGAAAUUCUUCCACCUCUCUGAGAUUAACUCCCGGACCCAUUUGUGACUCUUCCACACGAACUCCCCUGAAAAACACACACUCUGAGGGACCCAGAACAAACAUUUGGCCUACUGAGAUAGUUACAGAGAAGCUGUGUGUGAUACCCUCAGAUAAUUUCUGAGAUCUUCCACAGACAGAUACACCCUCAGUGAAUGGGACCAAGUCUGAAGUCCCAAAUGCCCCAAACCCAGCCCCUCCUACCUUUAAAAAAGAGCAUGGCCCCAUGUUCAUCCAGGGUGGUAGCAUCAAAGCUCCAGCCAUCCGAACAGGGUUCUGGGAUGGAGGUGGGGAGAUACAAGUAAAAGACCAGUCAGGUAAUACAAUGCAGAGACACAGACAGACAGACAGAUUAAGGGAGCUGGGGCCUCACCUGUCACAUCUGGGUUCACUCUGGCCCCACUCCCACCUU